rnacentral:rRNA from 1 species
UACGUAGGGGGCUAGCGUUGUCCGGAAUCAUUGGGCGUAAAGAGCGUGUAGGCGGUCCGGUAAGUCCGUUGUGAAAGUCAGGGGGCUCAACCCUUGAAUGCCGGCGGAUACUGUCGGGCUAGAGUCCGGGAAGAGGCGAGUGGAAUUCCCGGUGUAGCGGUGAAAUGCGCAGAUAUCGGGAGGAACACCUAUGGCGAAGGCAGCUCGCUGGGACGGGUACUGACG